AACGAACGCUGGCGGCGUGCCUAACACAUGCAAGUCGAGCGCGAAUGGAGCAAUCCUAGUAGAGCGGCGCACGGGUGCGUAACACGUGGGUAAUCUGCCCAGAAGUCCGGAACAACCUGCCGAAAGGCUGGCUAAUACCGGAUAAGCCUACGGGGACUUCGGUCCCUGAAGGAAAAGGUGGCCUCUGUAUACAAGCUAUCGCUUCUGGAUGAGCCCGCGGCCCAUCAGCUAGUUGGCGGGGUAACGGCCCACCAAGGCAACGACGGGUAGCUGGUCUGAGAGGACGAUCAGCCACACUGGAACUGAGACACGGUCCAGACUCCUACGGGAGGCAGCAGUGGGGAAUUUUGCACAAUGGGCGAAAGCCUGAUGCAGCAACGCCGCGUGUGUGAUGAAGGUCUUCGGAUCGUAAAGCACUUUCGACCGGGAAGAACACCUUUUGGCUAACAUCCAAAGGCUUGACGGUACCGGGAGAAGAAGCACCGGCUAACUCUGUGCCAGCAGCCGCGGUAAUACAGAGGGUGCAAGCGUUGUUCGGAAUUAUUGGGCGUAAAGCGCGUGUAGGCGGCUUUGCAAGUCGGGUGUGAAAGCCCUCAGCUUAACUGAGGAAGUGCGCC
rnacentral:rRNA from 1 species